rnacentral:misc_RNA from 1 species
GCUAUUUCAUUAUAACAACUUCACCAUUGUUCGUACUCCUUAACCCAAAAUUACAUCUUCAUCUUCACUGUCCUCGAUAUCUUUUUCCGAAGAACAACAAAAAUAAAUAAACUAUUCAGAUCAACCUCACUCACCCCACAACCACCGCGCUGCCGGUCCUGACCGGAAUCUCCUUCUUCAUCGACGUCGACACCUUCUUCCCCCUCGCCGGCUCACCGCCCCUCCUCUUCACCCCCGUCUCGUCGAUCUCGAUCUGCUCCU